CCUCCCUGCACGUGCCUUUACCACAGAGCAACGAUCAAGCUUAAAGGCAAAGUCAGUGAGUGACUUUGGUCUGUCAAAGUGACUGAAAGAGGCCGUGAGAAGAUCAAUCAUGCCACCACCAAAGGAUGCAGAGAUCGAGCAGGUUGCAAAGGUUUGGCUUUGGAAUGCACGGGACCAUUCAGGUGGACGGAAGCAUCGUCUCACGCAGUCUCUUCAAACAAAUAGUUAAUUUAUGAUCUAUGCUAUAUUAAUGCAUAAACAAUAUUCAUUUUUGAUAUUAUGAUUAACUAUAUCUGUUCUAUUUAUGUAAAGUACAUCUAUUUUCUCCUUCAUUAUUAUUGCUGUGAGAUAAAAACCUUAAUGCAAAAACUAAUGUUAU